GAUGAACGCUGGCGGCGUGCCUAAUACAUGCAAGUCGAGCGAACGGACGAGAAGCUUGCUUCUCUGAUGUUAGCGGCGGAAGGGUGAGUAACACGUGGAUAACCUACCUAUAAGACUGGGAUAACUUCGGGAAACCGGAGCUAAUACCGGAUAAUAUUUUGAACCGCAUGGUUCAAAAGUGAAAGACGGUCUUGCUGUCACUUAUAGAUGGAUCCGCGCUGCAUUAGCUAGUUGGUAAGGUAACGGCUUACCAAGGCAACGAUGCAUAGCCGACCUGAGAGGGUGAUCGGCCACACUGGAACUGAGACACGGCCCAGACUCCUACGGGAGGCAGCAGUAGGGAAUCUUCCGCAAUGGGCGAAAGCCUGACGGAGCAACGCCGCGUGAGUGAUGAAGGUCUUCGGAUCGUAAAACUCUGUUAUUAGGGAAGAACAUAUGUGUAAGUAACUGUGCACAUCUUGACGGUACCUAAUCAGAAAGCCACGGCUAACUACGUG
rnacentral:rRNA from 1 species